GGAAGCGUGGCAGAGCGGCCGAAUGCACUCGCCUUGAAAGCGAGAGCCCUUAACCGGGUCGGGGGUUCGAAUCCCUCCGCUUCCG
rnacentral:tRNA from 2 species